rnacentral:tRNA from 1 species
GCUUCCGUAGCUCAGUUGGUUAGAGCUUCGUACUAAUACUAGAUGCCUUAUCUAGCUUUGGUAAUGCGAAGGUCGCAGGUUCAAGCCCUGCCGGGAGCA